GACGAACGCUGGCGGCGUGCUUAACACAUGCAAGUCGAGCGGUAAGGCCCUUUCGGGGGUACGACGAGCGGCGAACGGGUGAGUAACACGUGGGUGACCUGCCUUUAGCUCUGGGAUAAGCCUGGGAAACUGGGUCUAAUACCGGAUACGACUCCGCGGUGCAUGCUGUGGGGUGGAAAGCCUUGUGCGGCUGGAGAUGGGCCCGCGGCCUAUCAGCUUGUUGGUGGGGUGAUGGCCUACCAAGGCGACGACGGGUAGCCGGCCUGAGAGGGCGACCGGCCACACUGGGACUGAGACACGGCCCAGACUCCUACGGGAGGCAGCAGUGGGGAAUCUUGCGCAAUGGGCGAAAGCCUGACGCAGCGACGCCGCGUGAGGGAUGACGGCCU
rnacentral:rRNA from 1 species